UACAUAUUGAACGAUUCAGGUGAAGCCGCUGUUAUGCGGCUUCUUAAAAGGGAAGCUGGUGAAAAUCCAGCGCGGUCCCGCCACUGUAAAUGGGAGCAGACGUCAAACGUGCCACUGUGCGCUUAAGCAUGGGAAGGCGUCGUCUGUGAUGAACAUGAGCCAGGAAACCUGCCUGAUCGAUGCACCAAAA
rnacentral:ncRNA from 2 species